rnacentral:rRNA from 1 species
UACGGGGGGAGCAAGCGUUAAUCGGAAUUACUGGGCGUAAAGCGUGCGCAGGCGGUUUUGUAAGUCUGACGUGAAAUCCCCGGGCUCAACCUGGGAAUUGCGUUGGAGACUGCAAGGCUAGAAUCUGGCAGAGGGGGGUAGAAUUCCGACGUGUAGCAGUGAAAUGACGUAGAGAUGUGGAGGAACACCGAUGGCGAAGGCAGCCCCCUGGGACAAGAUUGACGCUCAUGCACGAAAGCGUGGGAG